UACGAAGGGGGCUAGCGUUGCUCGGAAUUACUGGGCGUAAAGCGCACGUAGGCGGCUUUCUAAGUCGGGGGUGAAAUCCUGGAGCUCAACUCCAGAACUGCCUUCGAUACUGGAGAGCUUGAGUCCGGGAGAGGUGAGUGGAACUGCGAGUGCAGAGGUGAAAUUCGUAGAUAUUCGCAAGAACACCAGUGGCGAAGGCGGCUCACUGGCCCGGUACUGACGCUGAGGUGCGAAAGCGUGGGGAGCAAACAGG
rnacentral:rRNA from 1 species